rfam:Clostridium disporicum strain 2789STDY5834856 genome assembly, contig: SCcontig000001
GAUAUUAUUUGUGUAUUAACUCGUAUAAAAUCCAUAAUAAGGUUGGAAAGUUUCUACCUGCUAGCCGUAAAAUAGCAGACUACGAGGGGAUAUAAGAAGGUU